UGUCCUCUGCUGUCCCAACCAGAGCUUGCAAUAGAGGAGGAGACAUGCAAACAGGGUCCUCCCUCUGCUGAUGAAAACCAGCCCAGCCCUCAUCCUGCCUCUGUAGAAGAGCCCAGUUCAGAACUACCAGGAGUUUCCAUUUAGCGUUCAGAGAGCUGAACGCUGAGGAUUCACUUUAAAAGGUGUCCAAUGUGAGGUGCAUCUGGAGGAGCCUGGGGAAGGCUUGGUAAAGCCCAGGGGGUCCCAGAGACUCUGCUAUGCAGCCUCUAGAUUCACUUUUAGUAGCUACUGCAUGAGGGACCUGCAGACAUCAUUGCACCCUAUCCUCCUUUGUUUUCAUCUGUUUCUGUUGACCUCAAAGUGCCCAUAGAACAGUUUUGGUGGAUUUGCCUCGUGGAAGAAGCUGGAGUUGGUCUCAUGAAUUAGUAGUGAUGGAUCUAGCACAUACUUCCCAGAUGUCGUGAAGUGCUGAUUCACCAUCUCCAGAGACAAUUUCAAGAACUCCCUUUAUCUGCAAAUAACAGCGUGAGAGCUGAGGAUACUGACAUGCAUUUGUGUGCGAGAGACAAAGUGAGGGGAGGUCAGUGUGAGCCCAGACACAAACCUCCCUGCAAGAACACACGUAGGAAAUCAGCUGCAGAGGGCACUCAGAACCCACUGAUCAGAGUCAAUCAGAGACAGCUGGUGGAGUCUGGAGACGGCAUAAAACAGCCUGGACGGUUCCUGAGAAUCUUUGUGCAGCCUCUGGAUUCAACGUUAGUAGCUACUGAAUUAGCUGG